UUGAAGAGUUUGAUCAUGGCUCAGAUUGAACGCUGGCGGCAGGCCUAACACAUGCAAGUCGAACGGUAACAGGAAGCAGCUUGCUGCUUUGCUGACGAGUGGCGGACGGGUGAGUAAUGUCUGGGAAACUGCCUGAUGGAGGGGGAUAACUACUGGAAACGGUAGCUAAUACCGCAUAACGUCGCAAGACCAAAGAGGGGGACCUUCGGGCCUCUUGCCAUCGGAUGUGCCCAGAUGGGAUUAGCUUGUUGGUGGGGUAACGGCUCACCAAGGCGACGAUCCCUAGCUGGUCUGAGAGGAUGACCAGCCACACUGGAACUGAGACACGGUCCAGACUCCUACGGGAGGCAGCAGUGGGGAAUAUUGCACAAUGGGCGCAAGCCUGAUGCAGCCAUGCCGCGUGUAUGAAGAAGGCCUUCGGGUUGUAAAGUACUUUCAGCGGGGAGGAAGGGAGUAAAGUUAAUACCUUUGCUCAUUGACGUUACCCGCAGAAGAAGCACCGGCUAACUCCGUGCCAGCAGCCGCGGUAAUACGGAGGGUGCAAGCGUUAAUCGGAAUUACUGGGCGUAAAGCGCACGCAGGCGGUUUGUUAAGUCAGAUGUGAAAUCCCCGGGCUCAACCUGGGAACUGCAUCUGAUACUGGCAAGCUUGAGUCUCGUAGAGGGGGGUAGAAUUCCAGGUGUAGCGGUGAAAUGCGUAGAGAUCUGGAGGAAUACCGGUGGCGAAGGCGGCCCCCUGGACGAAGACUGACGCUCAGGUGCGAAAGCGUGGGGAGCAAACAGGAUUAGAUACCCUGGUAGUCCACGCCGUAAACGAUGUCGACUUGGAGGUUGUGCCCUUGAGGCGUGGCUUCCGGAGCUAACGCGUUAAGUCGACCGCCUGGGGAGUACGGCCGCAAGGUUAAAACUCAAAUGAAUUGACGGGGGCCCGCACAAGCGGUGGAGCAUGUGGUUUAAUUCGAUGCAACGCGAAGAACCUUACCUGGUCUUGACAUCCACGGAAGUUUUCAGAGAUGAGAAUGUGCCUUCGGGAACCGUGAGACAGGUGCUGCAUGGCUGUCGUCAGCUCGUGUUGUGAAAUGUUGGGUUAAGUCCCGCAACGAGCGCAACCCUUAUCCUUUGUUGCCAGCGGUCCGGCCGGGAACUCAAAGGAGACUGCCAGUGAUAAACUGGAGGAAGGUGGGGAUGACGUCAAGUCAUCAUGGCCCUUACGACCAGGGCUACACACGUGCUACAAUGGCGCAUACAAAGAGAAGCGACCUCGCGAGAGCAAGCGGACCUCAUAAAGUGCGUCGUAGUCCGGAUUGGAGUCUGCAACUCGACUCCAUGAAGUCGGAAUCGCUAGUAAUCGUGGAUCAGAAUGCCACGGUGAAUACGUUCCCGGGCCUUGUACACACCGCCCGUCACACCAUGGGAGUGGGUUGCAAAAGAAGUAGGUAGCUUAACCUUAGGGAGGGCGCUUACCACUUUGUGAUUCAUGACUGGGGUGAAGUCGUAACAAGGUAACCGUAGGGGAACCUGCGGUUGGAUCACCUCCUU
rnacentral:rRNA from 1 species